CCUACGGGUGGCAGCAGUGAGGAAUAUUGGUCAAUGGGCGGAAGCCUGAACCAGCCAAGUCGCGUGAGGGAUUAAGGCCCUGCGGGUCGUAAACCUCUUUUGCCGGGGAGCAGUGGUCCGGACGCGUCCGGACCGGGAGAGUACCCGGCGAAAAAGCAUCGGCUAACUACGGGCCAGCAGCCGCGGUAAUACGGGGGAUGCGAGCGUUAUCCGGAUUUGUUGGGUUAAAAGGUUGUGUAGGUGGGCAUUUAAGCCGGCGGUCAAAUGUCGGGGCUCAACCCCGGCCUGCCGUCGGCACUGGGUGCCUUGAGUGGGCGAGAAGUAUGCGGAAGGCGUGGUGUAGCGGUGACAUGCAGAGAUAUCACGCAGAACCCCGAUUGCGAAGGCAGCAUACCGGCGCCCUACUGACGCUGAGGCACGAAAGUGCGGGUAUCGAACAGGAUUAGAUACCCUGGUAGUC
rnacentral:rRNA from 1 species